rnacentral:lncRNA from 1 species
UAUCCAAAGUUUCUCAUUUAUAGGCAGGAGCAGAUAAGCUGACUUGUAUCUUUCAGUCCCCAGCACUUCAACAUUACACUUCCCCAUGCACACACCAGUGAGACUCAGGCAUUGGCACACAGAAGAGACUUUAACCUUUGUCCCAGGGGUGAUAGAAAACCUUUCAAAUCGCCCGUGCUGGUCAUACAAACUAGCAGCAUCCUGUGCCUGCUCUUAGCAAAAUCUCUCACCUUCCUUCCUCAUGAUGCUGUAUAGGACCCUUUGGCUGCCACAGCAUCCAAAUGGGUUUGCAGGUAGCAGUGGGCUAUUGUAAUUUGGCCAAAUUUUUGUGCCAUUGUGGCCCUCUGAUCACUCUGUGUGUAAUCAAACCAUGAUAUGACCCUAUUUGAUCAGCCAAAUAAGAGGAUUGGUGGGGUGUCUCCAGUGCAGCAUGCUCAGACACUGCCUUGUGAACAUCAUUUGAAGGAGUGCAGCCUUUCUUCUUCGGGCAGUUAAGUACCCGGCGGUGUCACCACUGUGCAUACAGUGGUGGAUACAGCCCUACCUUUCUGAUCCACCAAAGCCUUUAGUGAACAGGUAGCAUCAUUUUUUCUAGGUAUAGCCUUGUGCCUUUGUAGGAGGAGAGAACGUAUGGCUAUACGCAGCCCAAUAGCUCAGAUAUUGAGUUAUUUCAGCCUCAUUACACACACUUACCCCACAGAGGGUAAGGCACAGUCACUCCACAUAUCUCCACCUCAGAAGCUCUGAUAGUUGUCUUGCAGUACCAGUCUGCCCUAACACUGGCUGCUGGGAGUCCAGAAGAUCCUGUUUCCAAAGAGGACUAACAACACAGCUGUGGGUGUCUCCUCCCUCAUUUGUGUAUCGCGGCAAUGCAGGGUGAAGAGAGCUGCUCAGACUGCUUGUUGAAAGCCACCUUCAUGACAAGCCUUUGUUGGUCCCUUGCUGCCAUUGCAUGCUAUCGGCCAUUCUGCUGCUCAGGAACAGCACCAGGAGAUCCGUGCCCUCUUCGCAGUCCAUUUCUUGAACAACUGUGUGUCAUCAGCCGACUGCUCAGGAAACCAUGCGGCUGGGCAGGAAGCACCAGGAAGAGCUCAACCUCCCUGAACUCUUUGAGGGCACAAAAUGAAUCAACUUGCCCGCGUCUGGAGCCAGUUCUCCGAGCUCCUGCUGUGGAGGAGAAGAGAAGCCGUGCUCCUGGAGACACCCCAGCUCCUGCCUGGCACCGAGAGCUGUGCAAGGAGGUUCAAUGCAGCAGCCAUCACCAGAUGGUGCUGCUGCAUGCAGCCUCGCAAGGUCACCCUGUGCAGGGAUGUUUUGUUUCUUGGAAGAAAACACUGAACUGGGGAUGUUUCUCCACUGCUUGGGUGUCUGGAGAGUAG